CCGGCCGAUGAGCGAGACCGAGAUAAGAAGAGAGAGAUAGAGAGACAGAGAGCUGCACCGGGCAUCGGGAGACUGAGGCCUGAGGGAUUCCCUCAACAUCCAGGAACAUCCGGUCUGGCUGAUCAGGAUAGAGGAGGCAUAUGCACAAACACGAGCUGCAGCAACAUGGGACCGGUGUUCGCCGUGGGAUGGAUUACUAUUUGGAGGCACUAGGCCUCCCGUUAAAUUCACUACAUUUUUUUUUUCUCCAUCUUGGCAGCCUCAAUGUACUCUGCUUGUGCGAGUCCUUAAAAACAUGUCGUGGUGAAGUUGUCAGGGAUUGUUAUAUUAGCUUUAAAUUAAUUUGAUGAUUUUGCCAUAUUUUAUCACACCGACGUCCUGCCAGACAAGUAAUGGGUGUGCCAGUCACACUGCACUGUUUUGCACCAGAUAAAAAAAAAUACUUUAAUAUAAAAAAAGAAAUUGGAACCUUUUGUUCAUGCACUGAUCUCAGUACCGGCUGCCGGUUGUCUAGAGAGAACUGUCCGACCAGCUCUGAAAGAAAACCCUAUACGCACAUUAAAGAAGACAUCAAAGUGUACGUGGAUGAGUGUGCAGCACCAUGGGGGCACCAACACUAGGCGAAGUAAUCUAAUUCAAAUUAUUCAAGGAUAAAAGGGUAAGAAUGACGAUUGCAAAUCAGCAGUUAUAUUUGUGGCGCAUGCUGCACUUGGACUUUCCAUAAACAUAUUUCAAAACAACCGCAGUUGGCACCUUACUCUGGUCUGUUAAUGAGGACGCUGGCUUUUAUUGUUGAUUUGCUCCCCAGAGAACAAAUGAGUUCCAUUUUGUUAUAAUGACUGCCAAGGUUUCGCCCCCCCCCAUGACUUUACCUUGUUUCUGUUAUUAAACUUUUCUGUGUGAAUUUACGGCUAACCUGAGCCAACAAUAAGCUGCCGGACAAAGCUCAUCACCAGCGAAGGAGCGGAUUGUCAUCAGCUGAUAAAAGACUUCAUUACUAGAAUGAAUUUGGGCCCAGCAGACGUCCAUUUAACUUGAAAAAUGUCUCUUGCACCUCUAGUUCCGUUGGUAUUAUUCAAUUUUUUGGCCUUUCGCUUGGUUUACUGUUAUUCUUCCAGUCAUAAAACAU
ensembl:lncRNA